CUGGGUGCGGGGUUAUCAAUCCCGUAUUGAUCUAUACACACAAUGUCCACUCUCCCUAUAGGAGACUCUGGUUACCAACUAGACUACAGAGAAGGCCGUGUCCUAAAGAUGCAUCCCGAAUAGUGGGUAGAGACUUCCAACUAGUGGGUUUCUAAUGUAAGUGCUGAACUAGAGGUUGAGACUCUUAACUGAAUUGACUGAAGUAAACUCGUAUGUCUAUACUUGUGUACAUAGUAUAUAAGUAAUGAAUCAAACGACCUUCGGAUGGACAUCCGAUCCCACCAGACCACAUCUCAACGAAGAAAAGGAAAUAGGGCGGACAAGCCUUCCUAAGUCCUUCAAUCAUUAUUUAUAUGCAUCUAUACAAGCACAGACAUACAUCUAACUACGCUUGAGUGUGUAUCAAGUGGAAUCAUAUCGUGAAGUAUAAGUGUACANCUUGUGUACAUAAUAUAUAAGUAAUGAAUCAAACGACCUUCGGAUGGACAUCCGAUCCCACCAGACCACAUCUCAACGAAGAAAA
rnacentral:lncRNA from 1 species